rnacentral:lncRNA from 1 species
GAGGUUGAACGUGAGAUGUCGGAGCUUGACGACGACGGUUACGGUGGUGGUGGUGCUGCUGCUGUUCGGCGACGUGUUUUUGGAUCGACAUUUUCAAGGUUUGGGCGGAAAUUUUGGGGUUUUGCCAUAUUAUACCACUUUAACUCUUUAAGUGAUAGUUAAACUAUUCUUUCUUUUUUUUUCUAAAAAAAUAAAAUAACUUUUAUUAGUUCUAUUUUUAUACCAGAUAUUCAAAAAUCAAAAUCCACCUAUUAAUAUAUUAUUAUUGACCCUGUUUUGAGUGUUUUCCUCUUUUUUUCUUUAGCUAGUUUGAAAACACUCAUAGUAAGUAACUACAUUUUUUCCUUGAUCUUGGUUAAAUAAGAGGUAUUCCUCCAUUUUUAUACAUACAUACAUACAUAUAAAUACAAAAAUAAAAGAGAUAUUAGUAUAUUACUCUCUUUGAGGCUUUGACCUUAGAAAAGAUUACAUGCCAAAAUUUCCCAAUUUUUGAAUUUUCAAAUGUUCCAAAACUGAUUCAUACUGACAUACAUACUGAUUGAUUAUUGUCUAUGUAAGCAUUUUUUUCCCGUUGAAGUAGAAGGUGCAGUGUUUUCAUGUUUUCUUCACUGUUUCCAUUUCAAUGGUGCAGGACUGCAGAGUGCAUACUGCAGAACAAAAAAUAAAAAACAGAUCUAGAGGAUAAACUCAAUUGAAUCAGCAGACGAGGUUGUAGACUGUAGUUGUAGUUGUAACUUGUAUAUAAGCCUGUAGGUAAAGGGCUAAAAUACCAAUAAUGUUCAACCUAAAAUAGAUAUGGCCAAAUUUAUGAAUACAUGAUUUAUACAAACUUUGGGGUUUACAGAAUUAAACCAUAUAAAUAGUUUGAUCAUCAUCUUCAGUCUUCACAUUAACACUCUAAUCAACACCACAAAGACAUGUAUAACAUAAAUUAUUAGUUAUUACUAAGAUCACGUACCCUCAGGUCCUUCACAAGUCAAUUUCACAAGAUGGCAUAAGCACCGGCAAGACAAGUCCACAUUUGUCCCUGUUGUCAGUUGUCACUAUAUUCUUAAUUAACAUUCUAAUCUUAUUUGUUGAUAUCAUAAAAACAC